rnacentral:rRNA from 1 species
GGAGGUAGUGACAAUAAAUCUCAAUACGAAGCCUUUGGUUUUGUAAUUGAAUUGAGAACAAUGUACAAUCGUUAUCGAUAAACAAUUGGAGGGCAAGUCUGGUGCCAGCAGCCGCGGUAAUUCCAGCUCCAAUAGCGUAUAUUAACGUUGUUGCAGUUAAAAAGCUCGUAGUUGAAGUUAAGAUGGUUUGAAGGGGGUGUUAGUAUUCGUACUAUCUGCUCUCUUUAGAUUAUCGACUUCCAGGUAAGCUCAAUAAUCCCUCCGGGGACUAUCGAGCCAGACUGGUCUUUUACUGUGAGAAAAUUAGAGUGUUUAAAGCAGACUUUUUUAGUUUGAAUAGAUUAGCAUGGAAUAAUAAGAUUGGCUUUCAUAGUCGAUUUUUUGGUUUGUUUAUGAAAGCAAGAUUAAUAGGGACAGUUGGGGGUAUUCAUAUUCAAUAGCUAGAGGUGAAAUUCUAUGAUUUAUGGAAGAUGAACAAGUGCGAAAGCA